GGAUUUUUCCGAAAAACUUACCUCUGAAUCUUUCUUUACCUCUAUUUUCCUCUAGACUCUUCCUGUACUGGCUUUUGAAUUUGAAAUAAAAGCUCGAAAUAAUAUUCAACUGGUAUCAGAGCUUGGUUACGAUCCAAGGAUCUGUGGGUUAUGGGCCCACCACGGUUCCUAUUCCUCUUCUUCUUCUUUUCUUCUUCUUGAUUGGAUUUAUCCUAAGUGUAAUACGCAGCGUGGAAUUUAAGGGCGUCAAACCAUUGGGAAAAGAUAAACCUGAAGAAAUUCGCAUGGAAUGGGCAAGAUAAAUUUUUAGGUGAAAACAUUAGUUUUCAUAGCCAUUAGGAAUCUUUUAAUUGGAUGUUUAAGUAUUUUGUAGCCUUAACAUUUAGCCUAAUAGUUUUGAUUGGCUUUAGUACUUUAUUGUACGUUAGGAUAAUACAAUUAUUGUCUAGAAUCUGGAAUGUAUUAGUCUUUUGUAGGUUAUUUGAUAGGUCUAACCCAAACCAAUAUUUAAAAAUAAACCACAUCCUAUUACAUUGGUCGUUACAUACACAAACCAAUAAGUAAUAUACACGUUUUGCACACUGCCAAGAGAUAUUACAUCGGUUCAUACACUAACCGAUGUAAUAUCUCCCCACCUUUUGAUAACUUAUUUUUUUUCAAUAUUACAACAGUUCGAGUUUAAACGAAGUUAUAUGUUAAAGCUAUAUAUCGGUUUGUAGAAUUGAUGUAAUAUAUCACAUAUUUUUUACAUCGUCUAAUAUAACAUCAGUGAAAAAAUCGAUGUAAUAAUAGGGACCAAAUAAUCGAUGUAGUAUCACUUUUCUAGUGACUAAUAAAUAUUUAAAGUUUAGACUUUUAUAUCCGGAACUGGGUUUGUACCCAAUGUUGUGCCUUAAAUCAAUAUGAUGUAAAGUUGGAAGGUUAUAGAGGGAUAUUUCCUGUAAUUGCUUUAAGCACAUUGAACUUAUUAUUUGAACAGUGAGCGUAUUUAAUAUUUUGACUAACAUAUGAUAUUGAUU